rnacentral:rRNA from 1 species
UACAGAGGUGGCGAGCGUUGUUCGGAUUUACUGGGCGUAAAGGGUGCGUAGGCGGCCUUGUAUGUCGGAUGUGAAAUCCCACGGCUUAACCGUGGAACUGCAUCCGAAACCACAGGGCUAGAGUGCAGGAGGGGAGAGUGGAAUUCUUGGUGUAGCGGUGAAAUGCGUUGAUAUCAAGAGGAACACCGGUGGCGAAGGCGGCUCUCUGGAAUGCAACUGACGCUGAGGCACGAAAGCUGGGGGAG